AAAGCGAUGCGGAUUUCAAAGUAGGGUUAAGGAUGCCAAGUCGGGUUGCAAACUCAUGGUUGGGGUCUCAAAGUACAGUUUGAAACGACAGGUAGGGUUUCAAAUCAGGGUUAGGGUUUCAAAGUAGGGUUUGAAAUAAGGGUUAAGGUGUCACAAUAGGGUUUAAAACUAGGGUUAGUGUUUCCAACUAGGGUUCGGGUUUCAAAGUAGGGGUUGAAAUUAGGGUU